rnacentral:lncRNA from 1 species
GGGCAAGGUGUCGAGGCACAUUGUAGCAAGUGUCGAAUGACACAAAGUAUGUGUUGGAAUGUACGAUUGAAUGAAUAUACUGUGAAGCUGUUCGUUUAUUUGUAUAGUCUUGUUGACAUGUACUUAGUCUUUGUUUCAUGUUGGAAGCAUUCAUGUUGAAGCUUUGAACCUGAGUGUUUCAUUGCUAGGAAUGUAAGAGGAUUAGGACCAAGUUGUCUAAAUCACCUCUUUAUUGAAUUCAUGCCAAAUAGUCUUCGUUACAUAAGAUGCCAAACGGCUGAAGCUUAACACUUGUACAAUGUGAGUUUACUUGUAAUAGUACUUCAAGUGAUCAGCGUUCCAUGGAUGGCCAAGGGUCUUGCCAUCGGAGCUUUUAAGCUUGUAGGAGCCAGGGCGACUGAUGCCAACAACUUCAAACGGUCUAUCCCAGUUUGGACUAGGUGUUCAUUCAC